UGAGAUCAGUGUUAGCUGAUGCAAAGCUACCUCAGAAGUUCUGGGCUGAAGCACUAUCAACAGCUGUGUAUCUGAGAAACAGAAGCCCAACGAAAGCAGUGAAAGGAAUAUGACUCCUUUUGAAGCCUGGACAGGUGAGAAACCAAAUGUUGAUCAUCUACGUAUAUUUGGAUGUACUGUAUAUGCACAUGUACCCAAUGAUGAACGGAAGAAACUUGAUCCCAAAGCAAAGAAAUGUAUCCUUCAGGGCUAUGGAACAGACACGAAAGGAUAUCGACUUUAUGAUACACAACUUGCAAAGGUGUUCUACAGCCGAGAUGUUAUAUUCAAUGAGUCUGAUCAUGCAGUUGAGAAGGAGCCUAAUGCAAGUGAAGAAAACAUUGUGAAACGGUAUGUGGAAUUUGACUGUCGAGAUCCUUACAGUGAGGACUCAGCGGAACAAGAUAUCCAAAGAUCAGCAAGAGUGAGAAAACCACCUGACUAUUAUUCGACACAAUUUCAGUCUGCUGUUGGUAGUCUGCUUUAUUUGUCAACAAGAACAAGACCAGACAUUGCUUAUGCUGUGAACAAUGUUGCGAGAUUCUGUGCUAAACCCGCAAAGCAUCACUGGACUGCUGUCAAACGGAUCAUGAGAUACCUGAAUGGCACUCUAAAUCUAGGUCUGCUGUAUAGCAAAGAAAAGCCAAAGGAAUGCAUUGGAUUUUCUGAUGCAGAUUGGGCUGGACACCAAGAUGAUCGCAAAUAUGUAUCAGGAUACAUGUUUCAAAUCAGUGGAGCAGCGGUGAGUUGGAGAAGCAAGAAACAGACAUGUGUAGCUCUCUCUACUGCUGAAGCUGAGUACAUGGCAUUGGCAAGUGCAGCUCAAGAAGCAGUUUGGAUGCGACAACUGUUGACAGAUUUAAAGGUCAACCAAACAGGACCGACGUUGAUGUUUGAGGAUAAUCAGUCUGCUAUCUGUAUGGCAAAGAACCCACAAUUUCAUGGACGUGCCAAACACAUUGACAUCAAGUACCA
rnacentral:lncRNA from 1 species